ensembl:lncRNA
CAUCUUUUCAGGUCUUCUCAGCUUUCGAUUAAGAACCAGCAACUGUAGUGGAGAUUCACUGCACACCAGAAUGAUGUCUCUCUAUGGCCUAACUGUGGUGAAGAUCUUAACACAUGAUGAGAGAAAGCAUCACCCGGAGUGUGCAUUUCUGCUCUACAACAUGACUGCUGCUGUCCAAACUGACAUCUUCAGCUGAGAAACAAAGGGGUGAGUCAGUCCAGAAUGAACCUUCCAUGGCAUCAGUUUGGACCAGCACUGUUAUUUGGCUCCUGCUGAGGAAAAAGGACCAGCCUCAUUGGCGACUGUUUAAUCCUGAUUUAUUUUCUGCCCUAAGUGUCUUUCAGAUAACAUGACUUUUUCCCAGGCUGCUGGAAUUUAGACUCAUCCCUUAAGUAUGUACCAGAUAAAUAUAGGGAAUAGGUAUCUCUGCCCUCUUUCUAUGCUUUGAAGCCUCCACAGCCAAAGGUUCCUAGAAGAGAACGUGUGAAGAUAGUAUCUACUCUAAACCCAGUGACUUGUUCCAGUGGCUGUUGUAUCCAACUGCAGACGUCAUUGCUCAUGAGCAUGUUGGUCCUCAGUGUAGAAGAACCCAGAAGAACUGCAUAAUGGAGUAGUCCAAUCAAUACUGAUAAACACAGAAUUUCUUUGAAGAUCUGUAUUCCACGAGAAAAAAGAUGAGUACAUCUGUUUUCAUGAGGACAAAAAAGAAAUGGUACUAGUCAUAAUAUUCUUGUCAUUCAUGCCUCUGGCCAGCUACAAAAGGAGCAGUAACUGUGCAGGUUAUGGACCUAUUUUGUAUAAUACGUACUUCUUUUAAUUAUUCAGUCAAUUCAAUCAUACAUAUAUACAUAAACAUCAUCAAUCUCUUGCUUAAAAGUUAACCCAGACUACAUAUUCAGGCAACCUUUCUGUCUUCCUAGCAAAGCUGAGCCAGUAGACUGAAAUGGAAAGGCAGAAUCAUGAACCAGUGUUCCUUAUUGACAAACAACCUCUCAAAGGGCCUUGGGACAUGGUGACAAUCAACCACCUAGUCAAUUGUCUUUAGAAUGAAAAAUGAGCAGUAGUGGGAGUUGGAACUGGAGCCCUGAUAACUUCUAAGAUAGUGAUCUCUAUCUUAUUUCAUUUAUUAGCCUUUAGUCUUGAAAAAGGAAAUGAUAAAUUCCCUUGUAGUGAGUGAGAAAAGGCAAUUCUACCUGUCUCUAGUUGGCUCUUUGAAAGCAGCUGCUCAGAAGAUGAAUUUCAUCCCAGUCUGUAGUUUAGAUUAAGGCAUGGUUGUCCAACUUUUUGGCUUGCCUGGGCUGCACUGAAUGAAGAGGAAUUCUCUAGGGGAUGCAUCUACAAAGGUUGCUCUGAAAGUAACGCCUCCUAAUUAUUUCCAUGGAAAUUACAACUGAUACAAACAGCACAAUAACACUAUUUAAUAUAGCAAAUUUUCAGCUACAAAACAGUCUUUUUCAGCACAGUCACCACCACUAGCUAUGCAUUUUCACCAGUGAUGAACAAGAGCCUGCAUGGUGUGCCCAUAACAAUCUGCAUAAGCGGAGUUGGCCUACGGCAGCUCUCAUCACUGCUGAAACGCACCACCCACCACCUCACUGUGCUCACAUCCACUCUUUGGUCUCCAUAAAUGUUCAGCAAGUAUCAGUGAAUGUCAGUGUGUGCAAUGAUUUCUGCAUGGAGGAAUUCGGUACCAUAUCGUUGCUUCACACGCACUUCCAUGUCAGACACCACUGUAUCAGAUUGCCCCUGUGCUGCUAUCUGUCACAUGGCCAGAAAGUGUAAUGGAAUAUUAAAGGAGAGGGAAGGUUCAACCUCUAAUGCUGUACCACCAACAUUCACCUCUGACGUAGUGGGCCAUCAUAAAACAGGAGGCAUUACUUUCAGAGCAGCCCUCAUAAAAUAUAGUUAAUAUAUAUAAUUUAACAAAACUUAUUUUACUUUUACAUGCACAUAACACCAACAAUACACCGAACAUUUUCACAUGGGCCACUAAACAAAACUUGGAAGAAAUGGGCUUCUUAUAUUUAUAUAGGUCAGUGCUGCAUUACCACAGACCUUAAAUGGCACACUUCAUCUCUCUGUUGUCAAAAACCUCAAACAUAAAAGCAAUGAGAUGAGCAGACAAAUGAAAUCAAUUUAGUGCAGCAGUAUAAGUGUGUGGGUUGCAUUUCUUACCAAGAUUAAAAAAAGACAGCUAAAUGACUGCUGUGUGUAAAAUGGCUUGUUUGUUUCAUGUGUAUUCAGUAUUGUGUAAGCAAUAUAUCUCUUAUGAGGAGCAACAGUGGAAAUAACUCUUGCAUUUGUUGUUUGACUGUGGUAGGAACAUGAUAGCACAUUUACUGCUAGCAAAAGCUCUAGAUGUCACCCUGAAACUCUCUGAUUCUUUUUCCAUUCUGGGCUCCCCUGAGGUGACAUUUUCAAACCUCUUUGACCUUGAGUCAUGUCAACUAUGCAAGUGGCUAUUUGCUUAUGUAAACUUUGCGCUAGCACACACAAGUAUGUAUUACAGCUAUGAGCUGACUUUGUCUGCUUAAAAAUUCCAGCUUGAGUGAAUGUUUCUGCCCAGAGAACCCUUCACACAGAUCUUGAGUGCUGCUGUUAGCAUCAUACCAUGAGCACAAAGAAUUCGAAAACAUAAUGAAUAGAAGAUAAUAUUUUUAACACUACAGUAUAUCGCAGCACCAGGAAGUAAUUAACACACAGUAACUCUUAACCUUAUGAAGUGUUGUACGCCCUCCCUUCAUUCUGUUGAAUAAUGUAGUGCUUCUAAAAUAAAAUAAAAUUUCAGGAUCAGUUAAGAGAGGGUUGUAUGGAACUAUACCACCGCAGUCUGGGACUUGAUCCAAUGUCCAUUUAAAUCUCAUGAGAAGCAGGUGAUGAGUGGUCAUACUGCAUCUCAGGCACAUGCUUCAUCUCUAUGGGAUUCUUAAUUGAAUAGAAAUGUUUUGCCAGAGAAGCAGGCGAAUGAGUGAUUCGCUUAGUCAAGGUCUUUAAAAAAAAAAGAUUAUCCUGUCAGCACAGAAUGGUAAAUACCAUACGUGGUUUGGUUUCUAAGGUACUUCCUUGUAACUUGAACCAGUUCAGUGCUAAUUCACUGAGGUACGGAUUAAUAUUAAAUAGUUCUGUAUUGAGCCAGCAGCAAUUCAGCUGGCAUUGCAUAGACUUGUCACCUUCAGAUAUCAUGGGUAUCAUACCAGCCCUGCUGACUGGA